ensembl:lncRNA
AUCAGAUCAUAGUUUGUACUUCUAAUUGCAGCCACUGUAACAGUAUCUUUACGCAGUCUUUCCAUUCCAUCUUAAGAGUGUCCUCCUAGCCUCGCCUUUUUCCUAUUUAAUAUCUCCUGCACAACCUCUUCAGAAAUAACUGGUAGUUUGAAAUGAGCUGAACUUAUGCUGCAAGGGGAGAUUCUGAAGCACAGAUAUUGUGGGUGGGAUUUCCAUGCCCAGUCUGUGGAGACAGCACAUAACCUGGUGUGUCUGUAUAAAAGAUGGACAAAGCUGGCUGAUUCCCCCACCCUGUGAGCUGAAAGCCUUCUGUGUCUCUCCCGCCUUCCGUCAGCUAAUGAACGUCAAUUGACAUAAGUGGCACAGUGACAUCCACUAAUUAGACUAUCACUUAACUCGGGAAGUGUGACAGCAUGAACAUGUUUUGGAGAACAAUCAGAAUACUGUAAAAGCAAUAUUAAAAUUCCUGGCUUUCUACACAAUAUAUAUGUACAUUGCAUAUGUAUAUACACACAUACACAUAAGACAAAAUCAUUUCUAGUUUAAGACAGAAUUACUUUCAUUUCACAAUGAAAUUUUCAGAACUCAUCUUCAUGUUUCUCUAGUAACAGUGCUUCUUGAUGAAUACCAUGAGUGGCACAACAUUUAAGUUUCACAACUCUUGAUUUUCAUUCCCUUGAUAUCAGACAGUAUUCACUAUGGCAAUAACAUUACACAGUCACGUAAUCUCUGUAGAAGUAAAAAAUAAAAUAAAAUGAAAAUAAGUAUUUAGUAAAAAGAACUAAGUAAGAUAAAGAAUUAUUAAGAAGUUAGAGAAAUAAUAGCCCUAGACAAACUUAAGAGGAACAUGGUCAUCAUUUCCUUAAAUAGCCUCAAUAUUGUUUGUCUGCUGGUGUAUCUGCUUUUGAGAAAUUAGCAUUUGAAAUUUUCUUAUCAAGGUUUCUUUAGGGAGGUGUAAUUCAAGGCCUAUGAAAGGAACAGGAAAGUAAUCACUCACUCUUGAAAAGCGUGGGCUCACCUCUAAUCCCAUUCUUCUCCUCACUUCUGUAAAGCGUUAGUUCAAAGACAACUAUAUAGGUUUGAUUGUGUAUGUGUGUGUGUGUAUUUUGUAUACAGGAUAUAUACACACACACACACACACACAUAUAUAUAUGUAUAUAUACAUACCACCUUUUCAGAGCCGUUAUAAAUUAUAUUACAUUACAUCAGUCUUCUUUGAAGUUUCCAUCACAUAUGAAAUAGAUGCCUUCCGGUUACAGAAUAUCCAGGCUUAGACAAGUGACGUGCUUUGUGUUAUUCAUUUAUUUGUCCUACACUCACAAUAUUUUUACAUUAUUCUUCACUGGCAGUACCACAGGACUGUCAGCAGAAACCACCACGGUAGUGCAGUUUUCUGGUGUUUGUGCUAUAAUCAAAUUAACAGAGAUUCUAGCACCUAUUGAAGCACUCAGAAUAUCCGCAAUCAGUUCUCCAAAUGAUUUAAACAAGGAGAUAGUCUUAUUUGCACAUCAGCAAUUUCCACUCCAACAGAAACAAGACUGAAGCAAAAGAAAGAAUUCUUUCCAACAAUUGCCACUGUUCAUACUCGAAGGAUGUUUAUUACAAGGAAACGUGAAGUGUGUUAGUGAAAGGAUAUAGCUAAUGUGACAUUAAAGUAAAACCAGCAUGAUGACCUACUUUUGUUUCUGCUGAAUUAAGUUACAUUUUGUCUUGCCUUGAGAGACUGAAUAUCAUUAGUUAGAGUACCAGGCAUAUUACGCGCUUACCUUCAGUGACAGAUCAAAGCAGCGAGGUAAUCCAGGGACAACAGUGUUGAGCUGUAUGACAGUUGUGCACAGUGGAGUCCUGGGAGGAGGUCACUGCCUAUACAGAAUAAGCAAACAGUGUAAGUUGCUGGGAUAAGUAUCCUUGGGAAAUAUCCUGGGAUAUUUCAGUGUAAGUGCAAUCCAAGAUGCUGAAAUCAAUACAAAUGUGAAACCCAUUUCUAAUUUGCUGUGUUAUGAGAAACGGAUGAGUAAAAACAUAGCGUCUUUUUGAAAUGGACUAUUUUACCUACUUACUUGAAUAUAUAUGUGCAUCAUCAAUACAUUGACAUCAUAAUUCAUCAAAAGGUAUCUAUGGAUACUCCAAACAUUCCUACUUCAAAAGAUUUGUAGGAUCAGAAAACUCCAACAACCUUGAUUCUGAACCUUGGAUGGCCUUGAGCCAUUCACAGCUAUGAACUUAAUCUUUGCUGAAACAAAUGUUUGUAAAGUGAAGUGGAUGUGGAUAAGAUUAUGAAAGAGCAAACCUUAUUUUGUGAUGAGCCCAGAGUUCCUGACACUGCACAGCAUGGACACCGUGGUAUUUGUUAUUCACUAACCUUUCGUGCACUUUCUAGUGUAAAGGACAUAAAAUAUCAACCAAUGUAACUUCCUUUUUUUUGUAUCUCGUAUGACUGCAUCUGUCAAAAAAGCUAACUUACUGAUUAAUGAACUCCAAAGAUAAUCUGUGAAAUUGUGUUCAACUAUUGAUCAUUUUCUGACAUUUCCUGCUGCAAAUAAAGGUGUUUGCUCUUUUUUCCACACACAUUUUUCCUCCUCUAUAUAUAAGUACAGAGAAUCUUUCAGUACGUUUACAACAAAUGAAGUCAAAGACUUCACUUCUGGUAGAAAUGACAGAAAGACUCAAAUGUGAUGCCCACAUUACAGUGAAUAUACUUUCAGAAAACUGAGGUCAUUUUUCAUUAUUUGCACAAGUUGGGAUUAAGUCUCUAAAACCAACACACUAUUUCUUCAAACAAAUCACUGUAUACACCUGAUUAAAUCAGAGUACUUUACAUUAGAAGGCAAAUGUGUUUUAGUAAAACCCCA